UACGGGGGGGUGCGAGCGUUUGUCCGGAAUCACUGGGCGUAAAGGGCGCGUAGGUGGUUUGAUAAGGGUGUGGUGAAAGCCCGGGGCUCAACCCCGGGUCUGCCGUGCCGACUGUCAAACUCGAGGGCUGUAGAGGCAGACGGAAUUCCGGGUGUAGCGGUGGAAUGCGUAGAGAUCCGGAGGAAGACCGGUGGCGAAGGCGGUCUGCUGGGCAGUUUCUGACACUGAUGCGCGACAGCGUGGGGAGCAACGAGGAUAGAAACCCCGGGUAGUUCCAGAAC
rnacentral:rRNA from 1 species